rnacentral:lncRNA from 1 species
AUGGAGGACAACAGUGCCAAGCGCAGCAAGAACUUUUCGAAACAGGAGUUGGAGGUGUUGGUGGAGGAGGUGGUUUCAAGGCAAAGAAUAUUAAUGGGGAAGUUGGAUAACGUAGUCACUGCAGAUAAUAAGAAGAGGGCGUGGGCGAAAGUUGCCCAAUCAGUGUCCGCAGUAGGGGAGACGGAGCGCGAUGCGAUUGCAAUAAAAAAAAAAUGGGAAGACGUAAAAUCCCUCGUAAAGAAAAAAGCUGCUGAGAGGGCGAGGGAGACGAGGAAGACAGGAGGAGGGACGUCCUCUGUUAAACUCGACGCUUUGGAGGAGAAGAUUUUGGGUAUGAUAGGGGAAUCGCUGGUAGGAGGAGUUCAAGGAGGGGUGGACACUGGAGACCACAGCUGUAUGCAGCUGCUACAGCAGACACAAACGGAUGCUAUGGUGGACCUUGAUUUUCUUCCCACCCAAGCAGGAGUUGCAACAAUCCAAGUUAUUGUACCCGCUGAAUACAUUGUCCCCCCCCACAUUGAACUUGAAGUUCAACAAAAUAUUUCGGUCGUUAGGGGAUUCUCACACCGUGAGUGUUGA